UACGAAGGGGGCUAGCGUUGCUCGGAAUCACUGGGCGUAAAGCGCACGUAGGCGGACUCUUAAGUCGGUGGUGAAAUCCUGGAGCUCAACUCCAGAACUGCCUCCGAUACUGCGAGUCUCCGAGUCCGGGAGAGGUGAGUGGAACUGCGAGUGUAGAGGUGAAAUUCGUAGAUAUUCGCAAGAACACCAGUGGCGAAGGCGACUACCUGGCCUGUUCUUGACGCUGAGGCGCGAAAGCUAGGGGAGCAAACGGG
rnacentral:rRNA from 1 species